ACAAUAAUCUUAUUUUAUUUAACUAUUAAUUAUUAGAGACUAGAUCGAGCACAUGAUCAGAUACUCCAACAACAUGAUAUAGCUAGUUGCAUCGAAAGCUUCUCAUCAACAUCUUCGGUGGCAAUCUCUUUCAAUAAUAAAUUACCAUUCGAAUUCAAAUGAGUACAAACUCUUGUAUAUAAACAGGGGAAAUUUUGCUCGAAUUCAUAUAGAAUUAUGAGGAUGAUCAAAGACUUCAUGACAAAUGAGUUUUCAAUGCGAUGGCUAACUAGUAACGUAAGUGAAAAUAUUCAUUACUAAAUUUCUAGCUUUACCUCAAGAUUAAUUAUAUUAAUUCAACUCAUGCAAUGAAUUUUUUUUAGUGUGGCAUGAAGAACUCUUACACAAAGGAUGAGAUCAAUGACGUAAGUGAAGAAAGGACACAUUGCGUCAUGGAUUUGAUGAGUACUACAUAGGUCAACUCACUUUUGUUAACUUAGAUUUGUAAGGAGAUAAACUUACAAUGUUAACUUAGACCUUCUUGAAGAUAUACAUAUUUUUGUUGUCUAACUAUAAUUUACAAUGCUUAUAUGAGUCAUUUUGUAAUUAACUUAAGACUUGUUAUUUUGGAUAUUUAGUUCAAAUUCUUGUAUUUUAUAUUA